UACGAAGGUGGCUAGCGUUGUUCGGAAUCACUGGGCGUAAAGCGCGCGUAGGCGGAACUGUAAGUCAGAGGUGAAAGCCCAGGGCCUAACCCUGGAAUUGCCUUUGAAACUGCAGUUCUAGAGUCUCGGAGGGGGUAGCGGAAUUCCUAAUGUAGGGGUGAAAUCCGUAGAUAUUAGGAGGAACACCGGUGGCGAAGGCGGCUACCUGGACGAGAACUGACGCUGAGGUGCGAAAGCGUGGGUAGCAAACAGG
rnacentral:rRNA from 1 species